rnacentral:rRNA from 1 species
AUUGAACGCUGGCGGCAUGCCUUACACAUGCAAGUCGAACGGCAGCACGGGUGCUUGCACCUGGUGGCGAGUGGCGAACGGGUGAGUAAUACAUCGGAACAUGUCCUGUAGUGGGGGAUAGCCCGGCGAAAGCCGGAUUAAUACCGCAUACGAUCUACGGAUGAAAGCGGGGGACCUUCGGGCCUCGCGCUAUAGGGUUGGCCGAUGGCUGAUUAGCUAGUUGGUGGGGUAAAGGCCUACCAAGGCGACGAUCAGUAGCUGGUCUGAGAGGACGACCAGCCACACUGGGACUGGGACACGGCCCAGACUCCUACGGGAGGCAGCAGUGGGGAAUUUUGGACAAUGGGCGAAAGCCUGAUCCAGCAAUGCCGCGUGUGUGAAGAAGGCCUUCGGGUUGUAAAGCACGUUUGUCCGGAAAGAAAUCCUUGGCCCUAAUACGGUCGGGGGAUGACGGUACCGGAAGAAUAAGCACCGGCUAACUACGUG